rnacentral:rRNA from 1 species
GAUGAACGCUGGCGGCGUGCCUAAUACAUGCAAGUCGAGCGAACAGACGAGGAGCUUGCUCCUCUGACGUUAGCGGCGGACGGGUGAGUAACACGUGGAUAACCUACCUAUAAGACUGGGAUAACUUCGGGAAACCGGAGCUAAUACCGGAUAAUAUAUUGAACCGCAUGGUUCAAUAGUGAAAGACGGUUUUGCUGUCACUUAUAGAUGGAUCCGCGCCGCAUUAGCUAGUUGGUAAGGUAACGGCUUACCAAGGCAACGAUGCGUAGCCGACCUGAGAGGGUGUUCGGCCACCCUGAACCUGAGACACGGUCCAGACUCCUACGGGGGGCAGCAGUAGGGAAUCUUCCGAAAUGGGCGAAAGCCUGACGGAGCAACGCCGCGUGAGUGAUGAAGGUCUUCGGAUCGUAAACCUCUGUUAUUAGGGAAGAACAAAUGUGUAGUAACUAUGCACGUCUUGACGGUACCUAAUCAGAAAGCCACGGCUAACUACGUG